UCGGGAAUAUUGCGCAAUGGAGGAAACUCUGACGCAGUGACGCCGCGUGCAGGAAGAAGGUUUUCGGAUUGUAAACUGCUUUAGACAGGGAAGAAAAAAGACAGUACCUGUAGAAUAAGCUCCGGCUAACUACGUGCCAGCAGCCGCGGUAAUACGUAGGGAGCAAGCGUUAUCCGGAUUUAUUGGGUGUAAAGGGCGCGUAGACGGGAAAGCAAGUUAGCUGUGAAAUCCCUCGGCUCAGCCGAGGAACUGCAACUAAAACUACUAUUCUUGAGUGCUGGAGGGGAAAGUGGAAUUCCUAGUGUAGCGGUGAAAUGCGUAGAUAUUAGGAGGAACACCAGUGGCGAAGGCGACUU
rnacentral:rRNA from 1 species